GGCCUGCCCUUACUAAGUUCGUUGCAAGUAUUGCAUCAGCCGUAACGUUAUGAGGAAAUGGACAGAAACUUCGGUCAGGUGUGGACUGUUAGUGCUUGAGUACUGAGAAUUUACCCUGUUCUAAUUAUUCCUGAGUGGUUUUAGUUGGUGUGCGUCAAUGACGACAUAUAUAACGUGUGAAUCGAGGAGGAGCUCGCGUGAUGUUGCCACUGGCCUCCAGGCACUGAGACUGAGCGAGUCCAUGGUGGCGGAACCUGGAACCCAAGGAUACCUGUAUGUGGAAUGCAGCUCCAUCACUCUCUCCUCCAGCUCUUCACUCUGAUUGGGUGCAAGAACGAUUUCACUGACAUAGUUGUUCUUGUGGAGAUUUGGGUCGUAAUCUCCUAGUGUUGACUGAACUGUGUAUGAACCCAACAGAGGCAAGAUGUCUGAUGGACAGGGCAGUCGGCCAAUCAAAAUAUCUUUCUUCAGCUGAAGACACAGGAGAUAUCUAAAAAAAUUACAUGGAGUAUGAUGUCCUCUGCCAGAAUUGAGGGAUCGGGUGGGUAAAAUUUGAUGCUGAAAAAGAAUUCAGUUUCUGGACCUGAAACCAAACAAACAGGG